CAGCAGCCGCGGUAAUACAAAGGGUGCAAGCGUUAAUCGGAAUUACUGGGCGUAAAGCGUGCGUAGGCGGUGAGUUAAGUCUGCUGUGAAAUCCCCGGGCUCAACCUGGGAAUGGCAGUGGAUACUGGCUCGCUAGAGUGUGUCAGAGGAUGGUGGAAUUCCCGGUGUAGCGGUGAAAUGCGUAGAGAUCGGGAGGAACAUCAGUGGCGAAGGCGGCCAUCUGGGACAACACUGACGCUGAGGCACGAAAGCGUGGGGAGCAAACAGGAUUAGAUACCCCCGUAGUCCCUGUCUCUUAUAC
rnacentral:rRNA from 1 species